rnacentral:rRNA from 1 species
CAGCAGCCGCCGCGGUACUACAGAGGAUGCAAGCGUUAUCCGGAAUGAUUGGGCGUAAAGCGUCUGUAGGUGGCUUUUCAAGUCCGCCGUCAAAUCCCAGGGCUCAACCCUGGACAGGCGGUGGAAACUACCAAGCUGGAGUACGGUAGGGGCAGAGGGAAUUUCCGGUGGAGCAGUGAAAUGCGUUGAGAUCGGAAAGAACACCAAUAGCGAAAGCACUCUGCUGGGCUGACACUGACACUGAGAGACGAAAGCUAGGGGAGAAAACGGGAUUAGAGACCCCGGUAGUCCCUGUCUCUUAUAC